GAUGAACGCUGGCGGCGUGCCUAAUACAUGCAAGUCGAGCGAACGGACGAGAAGCUUGCUUCUCUGAUGUUAGCGGCGGACGGGUGAGUAACACGUGGAUAACCUACCUAUAAGACUGGGAUAACUUCGGGAAACCGUAGCUAAUACCGGAUAAUAUUUUGAACCGCAUGGUUCAAAAGUGAAAGACGGUCUUGCUGUCACUUAUAGAUGGAUCCGCGCUGCAUUAGCUAGUUGGUAAGGUAACGGCUUACCAAGGCAACGAUGCAUAGCCGACCUGAGAGGGUGAUCGGCCACACUGGAACUGAGACACGGUCCAGACUCCUACGGGAGGCAGCAGUAGGGAAUCUUCCGCAAUGGGCGAAAGCCUGACGGAGCAACGCCGCGGGAGUGAUGAAGGUCUUCGGAUCGUAAAACUCUGUUAUUAGGGAAGAACAUAUGUGUAAGUAACUGUGCACAUCUUGACGGUACCUAAUCAGAAAGCCACGGCUAACUACGU
rnacentral:rRNA from 1 species